rnacentral:piRNA from 1 species
UACCCAAUAUGCCUAAGCCAUGUUGGGCGCC